rnacentral:tRNA from 1 species
GCCUUCGUGAUGGAAUUGGUAGACAUUCUGGUUUUAGGAACCAGUGCUAAUAGCGUGCCGGUUCAAAUCCGGCCGAAGGCA